rnacentral:rRNA from 1 species
AUUGAACGCUGGCGGCAGGCUUAACACAUGCAAGUCGAGCGGAGAGAGGUAGCUUGCUACUGAUCUUAGCGGCGGACGGGUGAGUAAUGCUUAGGAAUCUGCCUAUUAGUGGGGGACAACAUUUCGAAAGGAAUGCUAAUACCGCAUACGUCCUACGGGAGAAAGCAGGGGAUCUUCGGACCUUGCGCUAAUAGAUGAGCCUGAGUCGGAUUAGCUAGUUGGGGGGGUAAAGGCCUACCAAGGCGACGAUCUGUAGCGGGUCUGAGAGGAUGAUCCGCCAAACUGGGACUGAGACACGGCCCAGACUCCUACGGGAGGCAGCAGUGGGGAAUAUUGGACAAUGGGCGGAAGCCUGAUCCAGCCAUGCCGCGUGUGUGAAGAAGGCCUUAUGGUUGUAAAGCACUUUAAGCGAGGAGGAGGCUACUUUAGUUAAUACCUAGAGAUAGUGGACGUUACUCGCAGAAUAAGCACCGGCUAACUCUGUGCCAGCAGCCGCGGUAACAC